rnacentral:lncRNA from 1 species
AUGCUCACCCAUUUCCAUUCUCAACUCAGCUCCUCAUGCAACUGUGUCACUCUGGUGGAGCAAAGGCUCUGUCUAAAGGUAAAUUAUAUUUGCAUCUCCUUUCAGGUCUUUUUAUGUGCAGUAAUUGUAUUGGGUAUCUUCACGGUGAACGAGAAUCAGGUGUCCCAGUGUAUUUUCUGGCCCUUCUGUAAUUUACAAAUGCUCACAGUCAGAAAUAGUGUAUUACAAAGAGCUGCUGCCUAUUCAGAUAUUUCCGGUGGGAAUCCAUUAGUGAAAUUUUACGUUCCAUUAGCAAAAUUUCCAUUAGUGAAAUUAGUUAUACAGUCAACAUAACCAUCUACUACGUGUUGGAUCAACACUCCUCUCUCUUCCUGCCUUGUAGUGGGCACACAAUUCAUAGUGAUGCUACAACAGGGAAAUAAAAAGGGAGUGUUUGGGCA